rnacentral:rRNA from 1 species
CCUAGGGGAGGCAGCAGUGGGGAAUAUUGGACAAUGGGCGAAAGCCUGAUCCAGCCAUGCCGCGUGUGUGAAGAAGGCCUUCGGGUUGUAAAGCACUUUCAGUGGGGAAGAAAGCCUUGGGGCUAAUACCCUCGAGGAAGGACAUCACCCACAGAAGAAGCACCGGCUAACUCCGUGCCAGCAGCCGCGGUAAUACGGAGGGUGCGAGCGUUAAUCGGAAUUACUGGGCGUAAAGCGCGCGUAGGCGGUCUGAUAAGCCGGUUGUGAAAGCCCCGGGCUCAACCUGGGAACGGCAUCCGGAACUGUCAGGCUAGAGUGCAGGAGAGGAAGGUAGAAUUCCCGGUGUAGCGGUGAAAUGCGUAGAGAUCGGGAGGAAUACCAGUGGCGAAGGCGGCCUUCUGGACUGACACUGACGCUGAGGUGCGAAAGCGUGGGUAGCAAACAGGAUUAGAUACCCUAGUAGUC